CACGGAGUUAGCCGGUGCUUAUUCGUAUAGUACCUUCAGCUACCCUCACGAGGGUAGGUUUAUCCCUAUACAAAAGAAGUUUACAACCCAUAGGGCAGUCGUCCUUCACGAGGGAUGGCUGGUUCAGGCUUGCACCCAUUGACCAAUAUUCCUCACUGCUGCCUCCCGUAGGAGUCUGGUCCGUGUCUCAGUACCAGUGUGGGGGAUCACCCUCUCAGGCCCCCUAAAGAUCAUCGCCUUGGUGAGCCGUUACCUCACCAACUAGCUAAUCUUGCGCGUGCCCAUCUCUAUCCGCCGGAGCUUUCAAUAUUAAUUGAUGCCAAUCAAUAUAUUAUGGAGUAUUAAUCUUCCUUUCGAAAGGCUAUCCCCCAGAUAAAGGCAGGUUGCACACGUGUUCCGCACCCGUACGCCGCUCUCUCUACUUUCCGAAAGAAACAAUACCGCUCGGCUUGCAUGUGUUAGCCUCCCGCUAGCGUUCAUCCUGAGCCAGGACUCAAACUCU
rnacentral:rRNA from 1 species